CUAAGAAUCUUCCGCAAUGGGGGAAACCCUGACGGAGCGACGCCGCGUGGACGAUGAAGGCCGGAAGGUUGUAAAGUCCUUUUCUUCGCGAAGAAUAAUGCUGGGAGUGGAAUGCCCGGCGGAUGACGUUAGCGGAGGAAUAAGCCCCGGCCAAUUACGUGCCAGCAGCCGCGGUAACACGUAUGGGGCGAGCGUUGUUCGGAAUUAUUGGGCGUAAAGGGCGUGUAGGCGGCCUGUUAAGCUUGGUGUUAAAGGCCACGGCUCAACCGUGGUUUAGCGCUGGGAACUGGCGUGCUAGAGUUCUGGAGGGGGAGCUGGAAUUCCAGGUGUAGGGGUGAAAUCUGUAGAUAUCUGGAAGAACACCGGUGGCGAAGGCGAGCUCCUGGCCAUGGACUGACGCUGAGGCGCGAAAGCGUGGGGAGCGAACA
rnacentral:rRNA from 1 species